rnacentral:rRNA from 1 species
CGGACGGGUGAGUAACACGUGGGCAACCUGCCUGUAAGACUGGGAUAACUCCGGGAAACCGGAGCUAAUACCGGAUACUAUGUCAAACCGCAUGGUUUGACAUUCAAAGACGGUUUCGGCUGUCACUUACAGAUGGGCCCGCGGCGCAUUAGCUAGUUGGUGAGGUAAUGGCUCACCAAGGCGACGAUGCGUAGCCGACCUGAGAGGGUGAUCGGCCACACUGGGACUGAGACACGGCCCAGACUCCUACGGGAGGCAGCAGUAGGGAAUCUUCCGCAAUGGACGAAAGUCUGACGGAGCAACGCCGCGUGAGUGAUGAAGGUUUUCGGAUCGUAAAACUCUGUUGUCAGGGAAGAACAAGUGCCGGAGUAACUGCCGGCACCUUGACGGUACCUGACCAGAAAGCCACGGCUAACUACGUGCCAGCAGCCGCGGUAAUACGUAGGUGGCAAGCGUUGUCCGGAAUUAUUGGGCGUAAAGCGCGCGCAGGCGGUUUCUUAAGUCUGAUGUGAAAGCCCCCGGCUCAACCGGGGAGGGUCAUUGGAAACUGGGAAACUUGAGUGCAGAAGAGGAGAGUGGAAUUCCACGUGUAGCGGUGAAAUGCGUAGAGAUGUGGAGGAACACCAGUGGCGAAGGCGACUCUCUGGUCUGUAACUGACGCUGAGGCGCGAAAGCGUGGGGAGCGAACAGGAUUAGAUACCCUGGUAGUCCACGCCGUAAACGAUGAGUGCUAAGUGUUAGAGGGUUUCC